UCGGUGUUACUGGAACUGCCGGUGGUCG
rnacentral:sRNA from 1 species